rnacentral:rRNA from 1 species
UACGUAGGCAGCGAGCGUUGUUCGGAGUUACUGGGCGUAAAGGGUGUGUAGGCGGCCACUUAAGUUCUGCGUGAAAUCUUGCGGCUCAACCGCAAGCGGUCGUGGGAAACUGGGUGGCUAGAGUGCGGGAGAGGAGAGUGGAAUUCCUGGUGUAGCGGUGGAAUGCGCAGAUAUCAGGAAGAACCACCCGUGGCGAAGGCGGCUCUCUGGAACGCAACUGACGCUGAGACGCGAAAGCGUGGGGAGCAAACAGG